rnacentral:lncRNA from 1 species
GCCGGAGGAUCAUGGGGCAGGCUUAUGAAUCACAGAGCUGGCUGAGUUGGCGUAGGGUGGGGCCUGAGAAUGUGCAUUUCUAACAAGCUCUUAGGUGCAGUUAUAGUUGUUCUGGGUGGACUGCCACUAGACUAGAAAAAAGUUGAUAUUGUCUAAAGAGUUUUGGAAGACCAGGAGGGGCCAACCCAACACUUUGGCCUUAUCAGCCCCCGCAGAUGCUGCUCUGUGUCCCUUCUGCCAGUUCUGGCUCAGUGAGGUGUCUCCCAGUCCCACUGACUGGCGGUUGCCAUAACGACAUUGCGCACACGAGGGAGGCCUGGCGGAGCAGUGGUGGGGCCAGGUGGAGAGGAGGAGGUAGAACAGACAGCUGAGCCACACAGCAUCCCAGCCAGGAUGACACGGAGGCAGGUGACCAUAGGAAGUGAGGCAGAGGAGGAUGGGGAAGAAGCUGCAGCCCAGAACCAUGAUUGCAAAUGAGCAGAGUCUGGCCUCAAGAGAGGGAGGAAGAAGCUGGUGAGGAAAAGUGGAAGGAGAAAAUAAAAUGGUUAGAAAAACACUAUAGACAAGCAUAAGAAAAAUGGAAACCAAAAAGAGACAUCGCUGCCACUGGAAAAAUGUCGGUCUCAGACAUCGUGAACACAGGAAAAGCAUUCUUCUCUGCUGCCUAUUUGCGUUUAGAUUAAUAUGGGUUUUGGGGGUUUUUGUUUUGUUUUUCCUUGAGACAAGGUCUCACAUUGUCACCCAGGCUGGAAUGCGGUAUUGGGAUCACAGCUCAUUGCAGCCUACACCUCCAGGCUCAACUGCCUCAGCCUCCCAACUGUCUGGGACUACAGACGUGCACCACUGUACCCGGCUAAUUUUUUGAUUUUUUUGUAAAGAUAAGGUCUCACUAUGCUGCCCAGGUUGGUCUCAAACUCCUGAUCUCAAGAGAUCCUCCCACCUCAGCCUCCCAAAGUGCCAGGAUUACAGGUGUGAGCUGCCAUGCCUGGCGACUUUAUGGUUUUAACAUGAAAUAAGACCAAUAUGGCUUUAACAUGAAAUAAAAAUCAUUAACUUCAGUUCAGCUCAAUAUGCCAGUCUUGGUUAUGAUAGACUACUGGUUCAGGCCCUAUUUAAAUCUGUGGAAAAUAUCCAUGUGUCUUCCUCUCUGAAUUGUUAUAAUGACUUCGAUGAAUUGUUGAAUAUUCAAAUGCUUGCUAAAUGCUAGAACAUCCUAUAAAUGUAAGAGUCAUCAUCGUCUCUUGAUUUUAUCAUCAUUGAUGUUUAACAUGCUUCUCUUUCACUUUCCCAGUCUCCUUUGGACUAUCUUUGGAAGAUUUUUUUUUUCUUUUUUUCCCCCAUUAAUUGUAGAGUAUUUGGGCACAUAUGCUUUUCUCAGAGGAGCAACUGAAGUUUAACCUGUAAAUCUGUAACUAAGCAAGGCCAGAUAACUUUCAUCUGCCUUAGUUAUUAUCAUUAAAAAUAAAAGUUGGAACCUAACUCAAUUCAAAUAUCCUG